ensembl:lncRNA
CAGUAUAAUGUAAUGUGGAGGCAGUAUAAUGUAAUGUGGAGGCAGUAUAAUGUAAUGUGGAGGCAGUAUAAUGUAAUGUGGAGGCAGUAUAAUGUAAUGUGGAGGCAGUAUAAUGUAAUGCUGGAGGCAGUAUAAUGUAAUGUGGAGGCAGUAUAAUGUAGGCAGUAUAAUGUGGAGGCAGUAUAAUGUAAUGUGGAGGCAGUAUAAUGUAACAUGGAGGCAGUAUAAUGUAAUGUGGAGGCAGUAUAAUGUAAUGUGGAGGCAGUAUAAUGUAAUGUGGAGGCAGUUUAAUGUAACGUAAGCUGGAGGCAGUAUAAUGUAAUGUGGAGGCAGUAUAAUGUAAUGUGGAGGCAGUAUAAUGUAAUGUGGGGGCAGUAUAAUGUAAUGUGGAGGCAGUAUAAUGUAAUGUGGAGGCAGUAUAAUGUAAUGUGGAGGCAGUAUAAUGUAAUGUGGAGGCAGUAUAAUGUAAUAUGGAGGCAGUGUAAUGUGGAGGCAGUAUAAUGUAAUGUGGAGGCAGUAUAAUGUAAUGUGGAGGCAGUAUAAUGUAACGUAAGCUGGAGGCAGUAUAAUGUAAUGUGGAGGCAGUAUAAUGUAAUCUGGAGGCAGUAUAAUGUAAUGUGGAGGCUGUAUAAUGUAAUGUGGAGGCAGUAUAAUAUAAUGUGGAGGCAGUAUAAUGUAAUGUAGAGGCAUUAUAAUGUAAUGUGGAGUCAGUAUAAUGUAAUGUGGAGGCAGUAUAAUGUAAUGUGGAGGCAGUAUAAUGUAA